GCAACUCGACUCCAUGAAGCUGGAUUCGCUAGUAAUCGCGCAUCAGCCAUGGCGCGGUGAAUACGUUCCCGGGCCUUGUACACACCGCCCGUCAAGCCAUGGGAGUCGGGAGUGCCUGAAGUUCGUGACCNCGAGGGUCGGCCUAGGGUGAAACCGGUGAUUGGGGCUAAGUCGUAACAAGGUAAC
rnacentral:rRNA from 1 species